rnacentral:rRNA from 1 species
UACAGGGGGUGCAAACGUUGCUCGGAAUUAUUGGGCGUAAAGCGCACGUAGGCGGUUCGUUAUGUCGGAUGUGAAAGCCCUUGGCUCAACUGAGGAAGUGCAUCCGAAACUGGCGAGCUAGAGUAUGUAAGAGGGUCGCGGAAUUCCCGGUGUAGCAGUGAAAUGCGUAGAUAUCGGGAGGAACACCAGUGGCGAAGGCGGCCUUCUGGACCAGUACUGACGCUCAUGCACGAAAGCGUGGGGAGCAAACAGG